GAUGAACGCUGGCGGCGUGCCUAAUACAUGCAAGUCGAGCGAACGGACGAGAAGCUUGCUUCUCUGAUGUUAGCGGCGGACGGGUGAGUAACACGUGGAUAACCUACCUAUAAGACUGGGAUAACUUCGGGAAACCGGAGCUAAUACCGGAUAAUAUUUUGAACCGCAUGGUUCAAAAGUGAAAGACGGUCUUGCUGUCACUUAUAGAUGGAUCCGCGCUGCAUUAGCUAGUUGGUAAGGUAACGGCUUACCAAGGCAACGAUGCAUAGCCGACCUGAGAGGGUGAUCGGCCACACUGGAACUGAGACACGGUCCAGACUCCUACGGGAGGCAGCAGGAGGGAAUAUUCCGCAAUGGGCGAAAGCCUGACAGAGCAACGACGCGUGAGUGAUGAAGGUCUUCGGAUCGUAAAACUCUGUUAUUAGGGAAGAACAUAUGUGUAAGUAACUGUGCACAUCUUGACGGUACCUAAACAGAAAGCCACGGCUAACUACGU
rnacentral:rRNA from 1 species